rnacentral:rRNA from 1 species
AGAGUUUGAUCCUGGCUCAGAUUGAACGCUGGCGGCAGGCCUAACACAUGCAAGUCGAGCGGUAACAGGGGUAGCUUGCUACCCGCUGACGAGCGGCGGACGGGUGAGUAAUACUUGGGUAUCUGCCCGAUAGUGGGGGACAACACGGGGAAACUCGUGCUAAUACCGCAUACGCCCUACGGGGGAAAGCAGGCUUAUGCUUGCGCUAUCGGAUGAGCCCAAGUCGGAUUAGCUAGUUGGUGAGAUAAGAGCUCACCAAGGCGACGAUCCGUAACUGGUCUGAGAGGAUGAUCAGUCACAC